AUGACUUGCAAUCCAAAAUGGGAGAAUGAGUUGCUGCCUGGUCAGACGGCGCAAGACCGACCUGAUAUUGUGGCUCGCGUGUUCUUUGGCAAACUAGAGGCUAUGAAGGACAUGUUGUUCAAGAAGCACAUCCUGGGUGUUGUUGUCGCAUAUGUAUAUGUUGUCGAGUUUCAAAAAAGGGGCCUC
rnacentral:rRNA from 1 species